rnacentral:lncRNA from 1 species
AGCUUAAUAAUCGACCUUCUAAUUCUUUUUACGGCAAUUCAGAGAUUUCCUUUUGGUUUGGAUCCACUGCUGGUGAGCUGGUAUGAAUUUUUGUUAUUAUAAGUGGAAUUCUGUUCCAUUUAUAUAUACUCAAAUUAUUAUUUACUUCAUUUCUUCAAGUGUAUGGUAUCAUUAGAAAUAUCUUUUCCAACUUGAGAUUUCUCCAUAGAAAUCUUGCAUGCUUUGUUACAGCUUCUCAUGGCUUCAUAUUUUGACUUCUCUCUGGAAUUCCUUUUGGUAUAAAACAUGAAAAGGAGAGACACAACUUUUUCUCCAAGUGAACACCAAGAUACCCUAAACCAUUUACUGGACAAGGUAUCUUUGCCCGCUGAUUAGAAAUGUCACCCUUACUAUCCUAUUGAAUUUCUCUCUGUAUUUGGAUUUAUUGCUUUUU